rnacentral:pre_miRNA from 1 species
ACCAAUAUGUUGCCUUUAUCUGCGUUUGCACCUGCACCUUAAUUGGCUUCUUAAUUUUCUUCAUCUCAUUUGCCGAUCACUAACUCUACUUGAGAUCAGCCAAAACCUCAAACUAAUCAACGGCGAUAAGACGAAGGACCAUAGCAAGAGGUGCAGAUGCAGAUGCAGGUGAAUGCCAUUUUGGU